AUUGAACGCUGGCGGCAUGCCUUACACAUGCAAGUCGAACGCGAAAGGGGGGCAACUCCUGAGUAGAGUGGCGCACGGGUGAGUAAUGCAUCGGAACGUGUCCUGUAGCGGGGGAUAACCUAGCGAAAGCUAGGCUAAUACCGCAUACGUCCUACGGGAGAAAGUGGGGGAUCGUAAGACCUCACACUAUAGGAGCGGCCGGUGCCGGAUUAGCUAGUUGGUGGGGUAAAAGCCUACCAAGGCGACGAUCCGUAGCUGGUCUGAGAGGAUGAUCAGCCACACUGGGACUGAGACACGGCCCAGACUCCUACGGGAGGCAGCAGUGGGGAAUUUUGGACAAUGGGGGAAACCCUGAUCCAGCCAUGCCGCGUGAGUGAAGAAGGCCUUCGGGUUGUAAAGCUCUUUCGGCCGGGACGAAAUCGCACGCGUGAAUAUCGCGUGUGGAUGACGGUACUGGAAGAAGAAGGACCGGCUAACUACGUGCCAGCCGCCGCCGUAA
rnacentral:rRNA from 1 species